CCUACGGGAGGCAACAGUGAGGAAUAUUGGUCAAUGGACGAGAGUCUGAACCAGCCAAGUAGCGUGAAGGAUGACUGCCCUAUGGGUUGUAAACUUCUUUUAUAUGGGAAUAAAAUGUUCCACGUGUGGGAUUUUGUAUGUACCAUAUGAAUAAGGAUCGGCUAACUCCGUGCCAGCAGCCGCGGUAAUACGGAGGAUCCGAGCGUUAUCCGGAUUUAUUGGGUUUAAAGGGAGCGUAGGUGGCUUGUUAAGUCAGUUGUGAAAGUUUGCGGCUCAACCGUAAAAUUGCAGUUGAAACUGGCAGUCUUGAGUACAGUAGAGGUGGGCGGAAUUCGUGGUGUAGCGGUGAAAUGCUUAGAUAUCACGAAGAACUCCGAUUGCGAAGGCAGUUCACUGGACUGCAACUGACACUGAGGCUCGAAAGUGUGGGUAUCAAACAGGAUUAGAUACCCCAGUAGUC
rnacentral:rRNA from 1 species